rnacentral:rRNA from 1 species
GUACGCUGGCGGCACGCCUUAUACAUGCAAGUCGAACGCAGUAGCAAUACUGAGUGGCAAACGGGUGAGUAUAAUGUGGGAAUCUGCCUUUUGGUUUGGAAUAACACGGGGAAACUUGUGCUAAUACCGGAUAAGCCUUCACAGGGAAAGUUUUAUACGCCGAAAGAUGAGCCCGCACUUGAUUAGCUAGUUGGUGAGGUAAAAGCUUACCAAGGCGAUAAUCAAUAGCUGGUCUGAGAGGAUGAUCAGCCACAUUGGGACUGAGACACGGCCCAGACUCCUACGGGAGGCAGCAGUAAGGAAUCUUGCACAAUGGGGGAAACCCUGAUGCAGCGAUGCCGCGUGAGUGAAGAAGGCCCUUGGGUUGUAAAACUCUUUCGUCGGGGAAGAAAAUGACUGUACCCGAAUAAGAAGGUCCGGCUAA